AAAUGCUAUCCUGAAAGUCCCCUAUACCCUCCACCCGCCCUGCUCCCCUACCCACUCAGGCAUGUACUAUCUUACCUGGGCUUUUCAUGGCUACUAACUACGCCUCAAGAUCUCCAUGUCAAGAUCCAGGUCAGGAACUUGUGUCUUCCAGCCUCAAGAUUUGGAUUACAGGAGGACUCUUCAGGGAGGAAGGCAGAGUCAUGAGCCUGACAGUGGAUCUCAGGGAACAGCAUGCUGCUCACUUCUGCUGGCUGUGCCCAGGUGGACUCAGCAGAAUCACAGGGAUGGAAAUGGAGAAGAGCCUGA